rnacentral:rRNA from 2 species
GGAGGAAAAGAAACCAACAGGGAUUGCCUCAGUAACGGCGAGUGAAGCGGCAACAGCUCAAAUUUGAAAUCUGGAGUCUUCGGCUUCCGAGUUGUAAUUUGAAGAGGAUGUUUCGGUGCGACCUGGGCCUAAGUUCCUUGGAACAGGACGUCAUGGAGGGUGAGAAUCCCGUACAUGGCUGCAGGUUUGCUUCUAUGUGAAACUCCUUCGAAGAGUCGAGUUGUUUGGGAAUGCAGCUCAAAAUGGGUGGUAAAUUUCAUCUAAAGCUAAAUAUUGGCGGGAGACCGAUAGCGCACAAGUAGAGUGAUCGAAAGAUGAAAAGCACUUUGAAAAGAGAGUUAAACAGUACGUGAAAUUGUUGAAAGGGAAGCGCUUGCAAUCAGACUCGCCUUCAGCUGAUCAACCUUCCUUCUGGUUGGUGCACUCUGCUGUUGGCGGGCCAGCAUCAGUUGGGGCGGCGGGAUAAAGGCGGCAGGAAUGUGGCUCGUUUCGGCGAGUGUUAUAGCCUGCUGUGUCAUGCCGCCAGCCCCGACUGAGGUCCGCGGUUCGCCUAGGAUGCUGGCUUAAUGGUUGUAAGCGACCCGUCUUGAAACACGGACCAAGGAGUCUAACAUCUAUGCGAGUCUUUGGGUGUAAAACCCAUGGGCGAAAUGAAAGUGAACGGAGGUGGGAGUCUUCGGAUGCACCAUCGACCGAUCCUGAUGUUCUCGGAUGGAUUUGAGUAUGAGCAUAGCUGUUGGGACCCGAAAGAUGGUGAACUAUGCCUGAAUAGGGUGAAGCCAGAGGAAACUCUGGUGGAGGCUCGCAGCGGUUCUGACGUGCAAAUCGAUCGUCAAAUUUGGGUAUAGGGGCGAAAGACUAAUCGAACCAUCUAGUAGCUGGUUCCUGCCGAAG